UAAGAAAACACAAAGCCUAUACAAACAUAUCAUUGCUGUGAGCUUGGAAGCUGCCAUAUUUCCUCGGGAUAUAUUUCUGGUCUGGAAAAACUAACAAGGCUGUGGCAUCCCAAAGAGAACAGAACAUCCCUAGUGGGGAAGAACAGUGGGUGGAGCUGCAGAGAGGUUCUAUAAAGGAGCAAGAACUGAAUGAACAGAGAAGAUAAGGACCCUUGACCUCAAGGGACUUACAAUCUGAUGGGGAAAUAAAUAACAACAUCAGCAUCCAAUAAAUACCCAAAGGACAGUAGCUGGUUUCAUCUUCAUAAAUCCAGCAAAGAACAGAUGGCCACAAGGAUACUAAAUAAACACAAGAAAAGAGCCACAGAAUUGGUUGUAAACAUACUGUCAAGGUCCCUACCUCAGUAUCUCUAAUCUGAGGACUUUCUGUGCCCAUGUCACCUCUACUCAGAAAAGAAAAUAAGCUCCAAGCGAAAGUCGCCAAUUGGUCCACGGGGUGAGGCCAAAUCAAUGCAGCUCUCCAGCAAGUCUGUUUAUUUUAUACCCUUAGAGAAACACCCCUGAAAAUGACCAACUUGUGUCAAUUACAGAACACAAGAGCCUGGUGCUGUCAAUGGGAGAAGAUAAGUGUAAAUUACAGCACACUGAACUCCAGAGAAUUAGCUGUUAAG